CUGCCGGUUCACACAUGUCCAGUUAGUUUUCUGAUUUCUGUUUUCUAAUAACAAUUUAAAUAAUUAAGUUCUUCACAUGGAUUCUUGAAACAUGAUGAAGUACCAGUUUUUUCUACAAAAAUUAUUAGUGCACUAUCUUAUGAUAGUAUGUCUCAUUUCAUUUACCAUAAAUCACAUAUGCUCCAUAUUGAUGCCCUAAUAAUUUUUAUCUUAAAAUUUCUUAACAAAGAAAAAGAAAUCAACAUUGACUUCAUUACACAUUAUUCCAUACUAUAAUAUAUCUGUUCCAAUUUACCUUGUCCAAAGACACACGAGACGAGCAUACGAAUGAAAUCAUAAAAAAAAUUGAAGGCUUAUAGAUCCUUAUCUAUUUAGAACCCAAGUGAGAGAUUGGGAGGGACUUAAGAGAAAAGGAGGCUGCUUCUUUAUGUAACCUUACUAGUCACUACUGGCCCAAAAGAAACUACUCCAUUCAAGCUAAGAUGAAACUAAAAUGGAUUUAAUGCUGCAAUUUUAAUGAGGUUGUUGAGAGAAAAGCAGAGUUAUACCGGAUGACAUAAAAUUUUCACAAAGCAAUUACCUUCAGCACCUAGGUUCCAUCAAAUGAAGAAACGAGGAAAGAAAAUGUCACCCACGUGACAGAAGCAAGAUUUUUGGAAUGGAGAAGUACAUUAGAUUUAUUAUGUGAUAGUAAAUCCCUGCAAAGUUAAAGGGGAAGUUCUACAAGAUUAUUAUUAGUCAGUCGAUUAUCACCCAUGCCAAUUGAUGUUGGAAGGUAAAAAAAAUUGUCCACGAUUGAGCAUGGCAGAGAUGAAGAUGCAAAGAUGAAUGUGUGACAACACAAAAAGAGAACUAUUAGAAACAAGUGCAAUAGUAGGUUGUAGGUGACACCCAUUAAAAGGAUCAGCUAAAGAUGAUUUACCAUGUCCAGCAUUGAUGCACAGGCAUUGAAAGCACAGGCAAGCUACAGAAAUGAAUAAGUGAUAGACCAAGAAUAACAUAUUAUCCUAUCCCCAGAUUUUACUGCCAAAUGUAGCCUUAAACAAAUUAGAUUAGGAUUGAAGAUGAGUUGAGUUCUACUUGGCAGUUUGGGAUAAGGUUUGACAUCGAUAAAUGGUUUAUAAUUCAAGUUGAUUAGGCCUUUUUAUGCUUUCACAAUUAUAGAUUUUAUUUUCUGUUAGCAAAAGCUUUAUAGACAUUCAUUCUAACUGCAGAUAUAGUCUGCUGAUAUGCCAAUUCCCUCCCAAGGUUUGUGAGGGGACCACCAGUCCCAUGUGAUAAUUUCUCUUAAAAAGUCAUAUUUCCACCCAACGUAAAAAAGAUUUUAACUAAACAAAAACCUUUAUUUACCUGUAAUAUAGGUUGCAAAAGUGCUGGGUCAAAAUCUUCAGAAGAUCGCAACAGGCCCCAUAUCCUAAGGAUUUUGUCCCGAAGCUCUAUCAUGCUUUGUAUUUCUGUAUCGUUCAUCAUUGUCAGUCCAUUUACAUUGCCAUUAACGAUUAGAGUUCUCAUAAAGUCAGGGAUAGAAUUGUAUGUAUCAACAAUGCCGCCUAGAACAACAGCUUCAGUGACUCGAACUGACUCCUUAACAACUAAAACUCGAAGCUCUUCACCAUCUGGAGCCAAUAAUAGCUUCAAAACAGGUUGUAGAGCAUCUUUUGCAGAGAAAUCUCUAUCUUUUCUUCCUUCAACAAGUAAGUUUUCAAGUCUAUUCCAUCUAAACUUUCCAUCCUUGAAAAGCAACUCAAUAAGAGCAUCUCUUAGAUAUGGAUUUGGAUCCGUCAGGAGCCUUUUAGCAAAAUAGGGAUACGAAGCAGCCAGGACCUUGAAAUUAGGAUCAGCAUUAAGGGCUAGACCUUCAAGUACCGUAAGUGAUCGCAAUAUUAAUGCGUAAUAUGCUGGAACAUUAAAUGGAUAUUGAUAAAAAACAGCACCCAGACCAUCCACUAGAGUUUUGAAGUUUAGUUCACUCACAGUGUAAUUGAGUGCAUCAUCAAAGAAGUUCUGUAGUGCUGGUACAAUUGGAGACACAUCUACAUCACAAGACAAGAAAUCUAGAACAUAGUAGUCACGAGCCAUGGCUUCAUAAUCCCUAUUAACCAUGUGAACAACAUGACCAAUUAUUGCAGAUCUUGCUGCUUCUGGCGUUUCACUCAUCAUUCCAAAAUCAAGAAAAGCAAGCUUUCCCUCAGGUGUUGCCAAGAGAUUACCAGGAUGAGGAUCAGCAUGAAAGUAUCCAUAUUCAAGCAGUUGCCGGAGGCUACAUUGUAUACCCGUAUUCACAAGAUCCAGAACCUUUAGACCUUGUCUCUCAAUGGCAUCUUGGUCAUUUAAUUUAACUCCAUCAACCCACUCCAUGGUCAAGACUUUGCCACUAGUAUAUUUCCAAUAGAUAUCUGGAACAAGGAUAUCUUCCCUGUCAGCAUACAACUUUUUAAACCUCCUUGCAUUCUGUCCCUCCUGUACGUAGUUGAGCUCUUGAUAAACUCUGCGCCCAAAUUCAUCAAUUAGUGCAACAACAUCACUAGUGAUAAUGUCAACAUAUUUGUUGACAAAAUUUCCAAGGCCUCUAAUCAGGUAAAAGUCAAGUCCUAUGGCUUCUUCAAUGCCAGGACGUUGGACCUUGACAGCAACAAUUUGUCCAGAAUGCUUAAGCUUGGCUUUGUAAACUUGUCCUAAACUGGCAGCUGCAAUAGGAGAAGGGGAUAUGGAUGAAAAAAUCGCAUCAAGUGGUAGCCCCAACUCUUCCUCAAUGCAUGACAAUGCUUCUGCAUCAGCGAAUGUAGGCAAUGCAUCCUGAAGCUCUGAAAGUUCCUCAAGAUACUCAGAAGGGCAUAUGUCAGGUCUAGUAGAUAAUCCCUGCCCUAACUUGACAAAAGUAGGUCCUAAUUGAGUGAAAAUUUUCCUUAGUUCAAUAGCUCGCCUUCUCUUAUUUUGAUCAAACACCCCAUUCCUCUGGUCCAGCCAUAGUUCCAAGCCAAAUGAACCAAGAGCUAUCAAAAUCUUAAGAGUCCUCCGCAAUACCUUGAUGGGCUUGGAGCCGUAUUUAAGUGCAAGAAGCUCGGGGCUGUAGGUGGAGGCGUUGGCAGCACGAGCCAUGGCUCUUGCCUCAGCCUGCAAGUCAUCAACUCGAUCUCCAGCUUUUGCUAAAGUAAUAUCUCUGAGGGGUGGCAUCGCUUUGGGUCUUGCUUCCACCAGAGCUGCUCUUACUCUGCCACCUCUUCUUCUUACGGUGGGCGUUAAACAAGGACCCGUAGGGAAACGGUGGCCACCGGCCGAAACAAGGCUCAUCGUCACCAUUGACUCCGACUCUGUAGAAAAUACAAAUACAAAAAUUCAAUUUAACUCAAUCUAACCAAACGAAAAUCAUAAAUAAGAGAGAUUUUUUUCUCUUUUCUGUUGCGAAUAUUUUUUUUGUUUUGCUUUUUUAAAUCGUUUUAUGUGAUAACCAUUAAUUCUG
rnacentral:misc_RNA from 1 species